rnacentral:rRNA from 1 species
CGCCAGACUCCUACGGGAGGCAGCAGUGGGGGAUAUUGCACAAUGGGGGAAACCCUGAUGCAGCGACGCCGCGUGGGCGAAGAAGUAUUUCGGUAUGUAAAGCUCUAUCAGCAGGGAAGAAAAUGACGGUACCUGACUAAGAAGCCCCGGCUAACUACGUGCCAGCAGCCGCGGUAAUACGUAGGGGGCAAGCGUUAUCCGGAUUUACUGGGUGUAAAGGGAGCGUAGACGGCAGAGCAAGUCUGAAGUGAAAGCCCGCGGCCCAACUGCGGGACUGCUUUGGAAACUGCCCGGCUAGAGUGCUGGAGAGGUAAGCGGAAUUCCUAGUGUAGUGGUGAAAUGCGUAGAUAUUAGGAGGAACACCAGUGGCGAAGGCGGCCUACUGGACGGUGACUGACGCUGAGGCUCGAAAGCGUGGGGAGCAAACAGGAUUAGAUACCCUUGUA